UCAUGACCUGAGCCGAAGUCAGACGCUCAACCGACUGAGCCACCCAGUUACUAAAUGUCUCCCAGGUGGCCGAACUCAUGCUAAUUGCUCUCUCUGAUAAAGAAAACAAAAGAGUCUGUGAACAAAAGAAGAAGACAUUAAACAAACCCACAAGAUAUGGAGUUUAGUAUACGAUCCUCGGAGUGAGAGAAUCUCAUAGUGCACCAGGGAUUUGCCAUCAAGAUUACCAAAUACGAUGUAAAUUAUGUUUACUGUUUCUGGAUGAAAUUCUAACACUUUGAAUGUCAUGAACUCCUAAAACAGCCUUACACUAAGAUGAAUCGUCAUGAAAUCAUCUUUAUCUUCGAAUAAAAUUGUAAUUCAAGCUAGGCAGAGAUGCGACAGAAAUGAUCAGCUAUAUAAGAUGCUAGCAGUCGCUUUCCUUAAAAUCCAGGAAGUCAAAGCUCUUUGCACGCAUGCAGAGACAAAAUAUGUUUCAAGAUUUUUUUAAAGCCCUGAAUAACAACUAAUAGGGCUGUAUUUUAAAUAAUCCAUUAACAGCAUGAGAGCCAUUAGUAUUAUGAGAAUGAAGAGACAGAAAAAGAUCCUGUUAUGUUUGAUAUAUGGACUCUAAAGAUGUUGUAGAAUAAAAUAAGGCUUUUGUUCAGGAUUUUAAAUCUUGUUUGUUUAUUUUUUUUUCUCCAAGUUGGAUUAAUGUAUCGCUUUUUCCCCAUUCACUAUGCCAUCAGGCUGGUAUCUACCAACUUCCCAUUACCAAGGCUCUUAAAUCAGUUACAAUGUUUAAAUAAUCCCUUACCGAGCAAGGCUCAUGAACUUUU